CUUGGUCAUUUAGAGGAAGUAAAAGUCGUAACAAGGUUUCCGUAGGUGAACCUGCGGAAGGAUCAUUAAAGAAUUGCCCCAUUUUUUGAAAUGGGUUCUAUUCCCAAACCGUGUAUACAUACCUUUGUUGCUUUGGCAAGCCGUCCUUCGGGCGCAGCUUCGGCUGAGAGCGCUUGCCAGAGGACCCCAACUCUUUUGUUUAGUGAUGUCUGAGUACUAUAUAAUAGUUAAAACUUUCAACAACGGAUCUCUUGGUUCUGGCAUCGAUGAAGAACGCAGCGAAAUGCGAUAAGUAAUGUGAAUUGCAGAAUUCAGUGAAUCAUCGAAUCUUUGAACGCACAUUGCGCCCCUUGGUAUUCCGAGGGGCAUGCCUGUUCGAGCGUCAUUAUAACCAUUCAAGCCUUGGCUUGGUAUUGGGGUUUCGCGGUUCUGCGGCCCUUAAAAUCAGUGGCGGUGCCGUCUGGCUCUAAGCGUAGUAAUUCUCUCGCUAUAGGGUCCCGGCGGUGGCUUGCCAAAACCCCUUUAUUUUCCUACGGUUGACCUCGGAUCAGGUAGGGAUACCCGCUGAACUUAAGCAUAUCAAUAAGCGGAGGA
rnacentral:rRNA from 1 species